AACGCGAAGAACCUUACCUACUCUUGACAUCCUGCGAACUUGGUAGAGAUACCUUGGUGCCUUCGGGAACGCAGAGACAGGUGCUGCAUGGCUGUCGUCAGCUCGUGUUGUGAAAUGUUGGGUUAAGUCCCGUAACGAGCGCAACCCUUGUCCUUAGUUGCCAUCAUUUAGUUGGGGACUCUAAGGAGACUGCCGGUGACAAACCGGAGGAAGGCGGGGACGACGUCAAGUCAUCAUGGCCCUUACGAGUAGGGCUACACACGUGCUACAAUGGCAAGUACAGAGGGCCGCGAAGCCGCGAGGUGGAGCUAAUCUCACAAAGCUUGUCGUAGUCCGGAUUGGAGUCUGCAACUCGACUCCAUGAAGUCGGAAUCGCUAGUAAUCGCAAAUCAGAAUGUUGCGGUGAAUACGUUCCCGGGGUCUUGUACACACCGA
rnacentral:rRNA from 1 species